AACACUGUUAACCUGCGGUACCUGCGGAAGGAUCAUUACCGAGUUUACAACUCCCAAACCCCUGUGAACAUACCACUUGUUGCCUCGGCGGAUCAGCCCGCUCCCGGUAAAACGGGACGGCCCGCCAGAGGACCCCUAAACUCUGUUUCUAUAUGUAACUUCUGAGUAAAACCAUAAAUAAAUCAAAACUUUUAACAAUGGAUCU
rnacentral:misc_RNA from 1 species